CGGACUUAAAAUCCGUUGGGCCGUAAAAGGCCCGUGCCGGUUCGAGUCCGGCCAUCGGCA
rnacentral:tRNA from 1 species